rnacentral:ncRNA from 1 species
UGACCUCGGAUCAGACGUGAUUACCCGCUGAAUUUAAGCAUAUUAUUAAGCGGAGGAAAAGAAACUAACAAGGAUUCCCCUAGUAACGGCGAGUGAACGGGGAAGAGCCCAACACCGAAUCCCUUGGCGCAAGUCAACGGGAAAUGUGGUGUUAAGGUAGCCCUUCGUGUCAGUCUAGGCGUCUCAAGUCCACCUGAUUGUGGCUCAAGCCCAGAGAGGGUGUAAGGCCCGUAGAGACGCUCCGACUGAUUCCUGGGGUUUACCUACGAGUCGGCUUGUUUGGGAAUGCAGGCCAAAGCGGGUGGUAAACUCCAUCCAAGGCUAAAUACUGGCACGAGUCCGAUAGCGGACAAGUACCGUGAGGGAAAGUUGAAAAGAACUUUGAAGAGAGAGUUCAAUAGUACGUGAAACCGCUUAGAGGCAAACGGAUGGUGCUCAUACUGGCCUGAGGAAUUCAACUGUGACGGUGGCUGGACGAGCUGGCGUUCCGAUCUCUCUUUUGGGACGGGCGUCGGUUUGGCUAUCAGCUCCGACAUGGUGCACUUUCCUUGGUGCCUCCGCCACGACCGACGACACUGGCUACCCGCGGCUGGGGUAAGGUGACAAACUGCUUCGGCAAUUUGUGUUAUAGACCCCGGCGUCGGACAUGGUUUGGCCAGGACGUCGAGCUUGCGGCGCCCGCUCCUUGUGGGCUCGCAUGUUGGCUAGCUUGGCUGCGCCGAUGCUUGCACUGGACAACCAGUACAGGUGACGGUUGUGGUCUUGUCUCUAGUUGGCCUCUGCGAGUUUGGCGCCUAUAGUCUGUGGUGUACUUGUGGGUAGACUAUCCGACCCGUCUUGAAACACGGACCAAGGAGUCUAACAUGUGCGCGAGUCAUGGGGAUUCUACGAAACCCAAAGGCGCAGUGAAAGUAAAGGCCUGCUUCUCGUAGGCUGAGGUGGGAUCUCGUGCAUCGCGAUUGGCGAGCGCACCACCGGCCCGUCCUAUCUGUCUCUGUCAGUGGGCGGCGCAAGAGCGUACACGUUGGGACCCGAAAGAUGGUGAACUAUGCUUGCGCAGCUCGAAGUCAGUGGAAACACUGAUGGAGGAGCGCAGCGUUUCUGACGUGCAAAUCGAUCGUCAAACGUGAGUAUAGGGGCGAAAGACUAAUCGAACCAUCUAGUAGCUGGUUCCCUCCGAAGUUUCCCUCAGGAUAGCUGGCACUCGGGAAACAGUUUUAUCCGGUAAAGCGAAUGAUUAGAGGCAUUGGGUCGAAACGACCUCGACCUAUUCUCAAACUUUAAAUGGGUAAGAUGCUCG